rnacentral:lncRNA from 1 species
CGCACUCAGGAGGCCAGAGGGGCUGCCCGUACCCAGGCCCCUGCUCUGCCCACACCCCCUCCUCCCCGGGCAUCGGCCCGCCGUCCAUGCCUCAGAGCCCACGCGGAAUGGGGACGGGGCCUGGCCAACAGGCUCCCAUGGCGCUGGCAAAACUUGCUGAACUUGGUUGGGGGGGGCCAGGGGGAUAGGACGGGCAGGGCCCUGGAAGGAGGGCUUACACCUGAGGGUGUGCUCCUCGGGGAAGGGGGCGCCGGGCUCCUCCAUCUGGAGUCCAAGAGGGGGUCCCCAGCCUCCGCCCCCCACUCCCUGCGCACCAGAUGCUCAGCGCCGGGCUGGGCGGGGCGUGGUACAGCAGCCCCCGCCCCCGCUGGGGGGGGCAUCCAGGCCCCUUCCCCCCAGGCCCGGCCCCCACUGGCUUCUCGGGGUCCCCAGCCUGGGCUGCGCUCUUUCCCCCGCCCCCACCCCCGGCCCUUCGGCUGCCCAGCCGGCCGGCGAUUGCGGCUCCCGCCCCCCGCCCCCCACGUCGGGCGUGGUGGCCGGGGGCUCCCGGGGGCGGGAGUUGGAUUGGGCUGCCAACUUCUGGGGCCGGGUCUGGGGGGCGGCGGAGGAGGAGGGGGAGGGCGGCCCGCUCGCUCGGCUUCUCCCGCCGCCCGCCCGCCGCAGUCCGCCCUGCCCAGCCCAGCCCUACCCAGUGCCGCGCCUGCCCGCGGGCCGGGCAGCCCAGAGCCUAACCGAGCCGGGCCGCGCCGCGCUGUCCUCCCCGCCCUCACCGUGUCCCUGGGCUUGGGGGGGGGCGGCAGGAGGUGGGGGAGGAGGUCCGCGGAGGCUCCCGGGCCGUGUCCUGCUCCUGCUCCAGCCGGUGCCGCUGCCUCCCGGAGCGCGGGGCCCUCCCCCCGGGGAAGCCCAGCCCACCGGCCCCGCCCCCGCCGCGGCGGCGGCAGCCCGACCCGGCGAGGGCCAGCGGGACCCGGAGCCAAGCCCCCCUCGGCUGGGGAGCGGAGACCAGAACAUUCCGUAUCACUUGGCAACAAGGAUCCUGCCCAAAGAGUUUUCUGGCAUCUUUUGACUUCCUCUGGCAUCCUACAGUAUUUCAAGAAUAGAUAACCGGUUUAAUGUGUACGGAGGCUCAUUUCCCACACUCAGCUGUGUGUUUGACAGUUUCAAAGCUAUCUAAAAUUACAGAUCUACAUAAAUGUAUAUAUUCGAGAAUAGGAACUUCUUGAGGACAGGAAUCAAUGUUGUCUAUUUGAGAUGAAUGCUUCACGGUGCUCGGCAGAGUCAAAUUUAAUCAUUUACAGAAGAUAACCAGGAACCAGGAAACAAAGACCCUGAGUCCAGAGACUACUGUAUUUCAAUUCACUGCAAACCCUCACAGAAAUGCUCCAGGCAGUCAUUUGCAAACCACUGAAUGCCCUGACUUUGUGCACACACACUCGAAGAUGAAAUGGAUUUAUGGGUGGUUUUGCAAACUCAGCAAAGAGGAUCGUGGGUCAGCAGGCAGCUUGAGAAAAUCUGGAAUCAUGUAUCAGCACGCACCAGGAAAAAGAUCUCCAAUAGUCAAAACCUCUUGCUAGUAGGCUCAAAGCGGAAAGCAAUCCCAGGCUUCUGCUGAUUCUGCAGAAUCCCAUGAAAGUUAUGGCUAGAAGGGGCCUUCUAGAAGAGAUUGUCCAGGCUAACCCUCUCAUUUUAUAGAUGAGGAAUCUACAUCCAAGAUAAGUAAUUUGCCCAGGAUAACAUCUCUGGUCAAUGGCAGAACUGGGACUAGAGUUUUUUUGGUUUGGGGUUUGUUUUUUGUUUUGCUUUCCUUUUUUUUUUUUGUCACUAUGGCACACUUUCCCUAGCAAACGUCUCAGCAAAGCAAACACAUCUUUUCAAACACUAACAGAGCCUGGGUCACGAUGUCCUAUUGGACUCAUAUCCUGUUAGAUCUCCUGCCUGAGCACGAGAGAGCCUCAUUUGCUAUUAUCAGCAGCUUCUGAAUGAAUUGCCUUUAUGAUACACACAUUUUAUUUGUAGUACCCAACGGCAGCACCGAAACCCCAAUAAUGCGGCACAGUUACACCUCAGGCUGUUGCAACAUACCAGUGUCAGCUUCGUUCCCAGUUCAUUGGCAUCAAAUAACCCUUAACUGCCUUUGUCCAGGAGAUAGUGUUGCGUGUAAUAACGCAUCAAGCUAGCAGGGUCAGCACGACAUCUUCCUUAGCUGUUUGGAUCCUGAUUUUCAUGGGCAUUCUGUAUUCUCCUGGGGCUCUUCCCGCUCUCUGGAAUGCUGUUAUUAGAUGGACCUUCACAGAAUUGCAGAGUUGGGAGGGACCUCAGAGGCCAUCUAUUCUAACCCUUAUCUGUGUGAAGAUGCCCUGCAUAGCACAGUAUGGGAGCCGUCCAACCUUUUCUCCAGGACCUACAAUGAGGGAACUACUUCCCGAGGCAGCCGAUCACACUUUUGGGUAUGUCUAAUUGUUAGGGUUUUGCUUAUUUAGCUUGUGACCCAGAAAGUUCUGGGCUCGUAGGUACCAGAUUUGAUCCUGGGUACUCCAGGGUUUAAUCUUUGCUCAUAUUUUCCCCCACAUCAUAUUUCCCUCUGACAAAUCUGACUCCUAAAGGAAGUGUGUAUAGCACCUUCAACAGAAGAUUUAAUGUGGAGACAGAAAGACUUGGGUUCAGAUUCUGACUCUGACACUAGCCGUGUGACUUUGAGCAAGUCAUUUAUACUUUUUGAGCCUCACUUUCCUUAUAUAUACAAUAAAGGGCUUGGACUAGAUGUCUUCA